AGUCAGUGCUGCAAGGAGCUGCCCAUGAGAAAUCAGCAAGAAGGAAUGGGAGCUUUUGUAAUAGGAUGACAGCAGUGGAUGGUCCCUGCUGGGAGUGCUGAGGCUGCAGGUAGUGCUGUGAGGAGUGGCCAGAUUGGCUGGAUGCCUGGAUGGGAACGCCAGGAGCCUUUUGGGGAUCCAAGUGUAUCCAGGACAGCAGCAGCAGCACCUGAGGAACUAAAUCAGCAAUGCUGCCAAAAAAUGAGACUGAAAAUAUCAGAAAUAGCAAAUAACCAUACAGAAACCGGCAAGUUUUGGGAUGGACACAGCAAAAUUGUGAUCACUGGAAAAAAACAAUGUGCUGGUAAUUGUCCCCUCCUUCCUCUGAAAAUAAGACACAGAAACAAUAAGGUCUGGAGGUAAGAUUGUAAGUGCCAAUUAUUAUUUUUUUCUAUGCACUGGGAGAUUUCAGCCUGGACCUGACAGCCACCAUUGAGUUAUGUGCCACUUGAGCAGGCGUCCUGGUGCCAUUUGCAGGGACAUGUGGCUUGAUGAGGCUUUUAUGAGCAAUUACACAAUGGUGUAAUUUACAGCAUGAGCCUGGCACCCACAGCAUGCAGCAGGACACACACAGCAGAGGGGCACAGCAGGGAGAGGGGAAAUCAGGAAAACACAGCACAGCCCAGGCAGCAUCCCCAAAAACCAGCAGCUGGGCAGGCAAACCACAUGAGAUCCACUCUGAGAGCUGAGGGAGGCUGUCCUCACCUCAGAAGCUCAUUUUAAUGCUGGGAGACAAAUUAACACUGGCCACUUCACCUUUGCAAGGCAGAACUGGAGCAUUUCUGAAACCACAGCAAGUUUAUUGACAUUUAAGUUCUUCAACUCACUCCCCAUUAAAUCUUUGUACCAAAAGCCAUAAUGAUGAUGGCUAUUAUUAUUAUUUGUCAUCACAGUAGCAGCAUUUUGUGAGCAGCCAGGGGCUCAAUUGCAUUGCAAAGUUUAGCCCUUACUUGUAUUGAUCCAGUUCUCAACCAAAAGCUAUUUCUGAGAUUUUUAGGUUUUUGCUUUGUAUGGAUCAAAGAGCUGUGGGCUGCACUAGAGUCAACCCUAUGCUGGGAAGUUGUGAUGGGCUGUUUAAAACUUACAUCUCAUGGAUUGAGACAUCUUCCAGAGCUUGUGCUGAAAGCCAAGCCAAAACCUCAAUUUCUCUCAAGAAACUCCACCUGAAGAGCCCCUGAAGCCAGCAAAGGUCUCACAGGUUCUCCCACUGCACAUCAGCCAUGCACCAGAACCAGGUUCCAGGAUGUGAAGAACAGGAAAAACUCAUCUGACCUGAAAUCUGAGCCACCCAUCUCCUCUCAGGUGACACAGUCACAGCAAAUUCCCUCUGCCAGGGGUUGGGAAAAAAAGCAAAUGCAAGUUCCAACCAGUGAGGCUUAAAAGAAAAUGACCACAAAACAAUAAUGCUGCUUCUGGACCAAAAUUCUUAUUAGGCUCUUAUGCAUAGGCAGCCAUCACUGAUACUUGCUGUCUUUUUUUAAUUUAAAAAUGAUCAGUUUUCUAUGGUUUUUUUAAAAAAUUAAAAUAUUAGAGGUAUGGUUUUGUCCAGAAAAUCUCACUAAAAAGAGGAAGGCAACAGGUGGAUACUGCAGGUGGAUACCAACUUCAGGGAGAUCUUUAUGGGCUCAAAUGGGACUUGGCCAUUUCCCAUGGUUUAUCAGCCUGAUGGGUGUUUGGGGACACCCUUUCCAGCUGCAUCAUUUCCCUGUUCACUACAUACAGAAAAUAGGUGCACACCCAGUUCUCUGAACUCCUCUUCCCUGUCCCAGAGUGCUGCACAGUCAUGUCUGCUUGUUUUGUGUUAAAUUUCACCACAUUUGUUUCACAGGAUUUAGUGGGAGCCUGUUCAGAAGAGGCUGAAGUGUUGUCUCCGUAUUGCUUGGGUUUAUACAUAUCAAUUUCAGCACUUUACUGAAUUUCCAUGAUGUUCUCCUUUCACAAAUGACUCAGAGCUGGGAAACUGCCUGAGGGUAUAAUGGAAUACUACAAGAUCUGAGUUUCUUUGUUUCUAGUCCCUCACUUAAUAGUAGCUCACAAACAGAAGUUAUUGAGCAUCCAGCACCGAAAAGAGAUGUUGAGGUUGCGCCCAAUGUAUUUUUACUGUGUUGCCCUUUUUGCUGCAAAUGGGCCAAUGCAAAGGGAAUUCCCUCCAGUCUAGCUGCUUUGGAAGUGUGGCAUAAACUAUAAGUAGGUGAUCACAAAAAAUUAAUUAAAUCCCCUUGGCACGCACUGAAAAAUAAUCAGUGUUCUUUUUGUAGCAGACCUGACAGGUUUAUAAUAAGAAAUGUUUCAUUAAAGCAGUAAAGCUCAUUGUCUGCAAAUGUUGUAAAGUAAAAUAAAUGAGAAUUAAAACUAAAUCUUUAUUAAGUUUUGAUGAAGAUUCUGUCCUUGAGCUGUAAAUCCAGGGCAUUUCUCUCCUAGAAAACCACUAGGAAUGAUGUAUAUGAUAUACCACAGAUGGAAUAUCUUCUAGAUAAUGAAAUCACUGAGAACUGUGGGUGAGAGUUAGAGCUGAAUUUGUUCUACCUCCUCCCAAACUGCCAAGCUCAGGAGUCCAUGGAUGACCUUGCAUGUGUAGGGAUGAAUCCCAUCUUCUUCAUGGCCAACAAAAUAGACAGGUCCUUCCACAAUGAAUUUAAUUUGUUCUGAGACGGACAAAGAAAGCUACCCCACCCCAAA